GUGAGGCAUUUAAGGGAUGGCCCCUGUGAUAACCAGCGCCAUUUUUUACAUUCGGCCCCUGCAGAGGAAUUUGAGCGUGGACAAUAUUAUGGAACCAAAUGCUCAAGGAACCGAAUUAGGACCUGUGAUGCCUUGCAUUCACUGUGGGCACGGAUUUGCCUUCUCUGAGUUAAAACGCCACAGUGAAAGUUAUUCAAGUGAAUCACAAAGUGAGAGGAGAGUUGAAGGUGCAAGACAAUUUAGUUCUGACAGCGGG